GUUAUAUAGUCAAGUGAUUAAGCGUACACGGUGGAUGCCUUGGCAGCCAGAGGCGAUGAAGGACGUUGUAGCUUGCGAUAAGCUUCGGGGAGGUAGCAAACAACCUUUGAUCCGGAGAUUUCCGAAUGGGGAAACCCACCUGUCAUAAGGCAGGUAUCGCAUACUGAAUACAUAGGUAUGCGAGGCGAACGCGGUGAACUGAAACAUCUAAGUACCCGUAGGAACAGAAAUCAAUUGAGAUUCCGUCAGUAGCGGCGAGCGAACGCGGAUUAGCCCUUAAGUCUGUGA
rnacentral:rRNA from 1 species